rnacentral:rRNA from 1 species
UACGUAGGGGGCAAGCGUUGUCCGGAAUCAUUGGGCGUAAAGCGCGUGUAGGCGGCUUGGUAAGUCUGCUCUGAAAGCCCGGGGUUCAACCCCGGGAGGCGGGUGGAUACUGUCAAGCUCGAGUCCGGAAGAGGAGUGUGGAAUUCCUGGUGUAGCGGUGAAAUGCGUAGAUAUCAGGAGGAACACCGGUGGCGAAGGCGGCUCUCUGGUCCAUGACUGACGCUGAUGAGCGAAAGCUAGGGGAGCAAACGGG